rnacentral:rRNA from 1 species
AUGAACGCUGGCGGCGUGCCUAAUACAUGCCAGUCGAGCGGACGGACGAGAAGCUUGCUUCUCUGAUGUUAGCGGCGGACGGGUGAGUAACACGUGGAUAACCUACCUAUAAGACUGGGAUAACUUCGGGAAACCGGAGCUAAUACCGGAUAAUAUUUUGAACCGCAUGGUUCAAAAGUGAAAGACGGUCUUGCUGUCACUUAUAGAUGGAUCCGCGCUGCAUUAGCUAGUUGGUAAGGUAACGGCUUACCAAGGCAACGAUGCAUAGCCGACCUGAGGGGGUGAUCGGCCACACUGGAACUGAGACACGGUCCAGACGCCUACGGGAGGCAGCAGUAGGGAAUCUUCCGCAAUGGGCGAAAGCCUGACGGAGCAACGCCGCGUGAGUGAUGAAGGUCUUCGGAUCGUAAAACUCUGUUAUUAGGGAAGAACAUAUGUGUAAGUAACUGUGCACAUCUUGACGGUACCUAAUCAGAAAGCCACGGCUAACUACGUG